AUACUUAGCUGGCGUAAUACCGUGACCAUGCAGGCGGUAUUCCCAGGGCGAGGCUGCUUCAUUGCACUGCGGAGUGGUUGACCCUUGCGAAUAUUGCGAUUAUUUUUAUUUUUCUAAGUUUCACUUCUACCGUGUGUGACUUGCA
rnacentral:snRNA from 9 species